GUAAAUAAUUUGAGGGCUUGCCCCGCGUAGCUCCGAGCCUAGCGAGGAGCGAAGUGGGGGAGGAAAGUCCGAACACCACAACGGUUCCGUAUGGAACGGGUAAUGGGUAACGCCCACCCGAUCUUUCGCAAGAGAGAUUGAGGACCAGUGCCGCAGAGACAAUACUACCUCAGGUUUACUUGGGGGAAAGGUGAAAAGUGUGGCGGUGUUUUGAAAUGAGUAAGGGAUAUCCCCUCAAUUCAAGGCUACACCACUCGCCUAUCGGUGACGAUAGGUUGCGGUAAACUCUACUCGGUGCAAUGCGUAUAAGCAGCUUGAACCGGCCGGUAACGGUCGGUCUAGAUAGAUAGUCAUCCUCGAAUUUAUUCGAGACAGAAUUCGGCUUAUCGGCUGGACUAGA
rnacentral:RNase_P_RNA from 1 species